GGAUGCACAGAGAAACCCUGUCUUGAAAAAAAAUUAGAAAGAAAAAAGAAAGGAAAAGGGAAACUGAAGCCCCAGCACUUUGUUUUUGGAGUGCGCAGUGGAAUUCAUCCUAGCUAGGACUCAAGUUGCCAAGGACCAGAGUUCAGUUCCCAGCACCCAUGCUAGGUGGCUCACAAGCAUCUGUAACUCCAGUUCCAGGGGUUCUGAUACCAGCUUCUGGUCUCUGCUGACACCAGCAUAACACAACACCUACGAAUAUAUCCAUCCUCAAGAACAAGCACAAAGCCUGAUUGCAAUGUAUGUGACUUUGGCACAAUGUUGUGUGAGAAGCCGGAGCUCAAUCAUUUCCAUCUGUAUACAGCCAUAGCCUGGGCGACAUCAACCUGGGCUGGAUCUGGAGAGCACCACCGUGAGUGAGACCCGCAGAGAGGGCUGCAGAGUGCCCUGCCAAGAGUGUAGGGCUCACAGACAGUGGUGGCACACAUCGUUAAUCCCAGCACUCGGGAGGCAGAGGCAGGUGGAUCUCUGAGUCCAACCAGCCUGGUCUACAGAGCAAGUUCCAGGAUGGCAGCACAACACAGAGAAACCCUGUCUCCCCAAACAAACAAAUGAACAAACAAACGAAAAUGAGUGUAGGUCUCAUGUGUGUCAGCUGGUGGCCAGGCUUCUUGGUCAUCCACAAUGGCGGGAACUGCUUUAUGUCUAGCGUCUGCUUUGUUGCAGAGGAUUGUACCCAGUGGCUUCCAUGGUUGGUUUCUUUCUGGGCCAGUGUUGUGAGAGGCCUGGUGCUGUGAGUUAUUUGGAAAUGAAGAAGCAGGGUCUGGGCUGGUCUGUGCAGCUCCAUCGGGAGGGUACUUGCCCAGCUGGUGUGAAGCCCAGGGUUCGCCUCUAGCAUAAAUCGGGCAGGGUGAUGAAUACCCAUAAUCCCAGCACUUGGGAGAUACAUGCAAGGUCAGGAGUUCAAUGUCAUUGUUGGCUACAUAGAGAAUUUGUGGUCAGCCUGGGCUACAUGGGACACUAUCUCAAAACAAACGACCAAAACUCAAUUUUGGAGGCAAUUGGGGAAAAAAAAAAUCCCUCAUAUUGCAACUGCUUUGAUUUUUGAAUAUUGACUAAUGCCUUUUUGAAAUAAAAAAAACUUGUUCCUCUAACCACCUCCCUUUCAAAAGAAAGAAAGAAAGAAAACGAGAAGAAAAGAAAAGGAAGCAGAAUCCACAGACACACUGCACUCUGGGAACACAUAUGUCUGUGUCUGUGACUUUAAUACAACAAAGCUGGGGACAUUAAGAACUGCAUUAGGGCCUGGCAUUGGUGGCGCAUAUCUUUAAUCCCAGCACUCGGGAGGCAGAGGCAGGCAGAUCUCUAUGUGUUCGAGGCCAUCCUGGUCUCCAGAGCGAGUGCCAGGAUAGGCUCCAAAGCUACACAGAGAAACCCUGUCUCGAAAAACCAAAAUAAAAUAAAAUAAAAUAAAACAAAGAACUGCAUUAGGACUGGUGAGAAGGCUCAGUGGAUAGUGGUAUCUACAUCAACCCUGACCACCAAGUUUAAGCCCCAGGUCCCAAAUGGAGGAAGCAGAAAAAACAAUGUAGUCCUCUGACCUCCACAAUGGACGGCUUAUGAAUGUACAUACACACAUAAAUGUUUUAUAAU